AUUGAACGCUGGCGGCGUGCCUAACACAUGCAAGUCGAGCGGCAGCGCGGUAGCAAUACUGGCGGCGAGCGGCGGACGGGUGAGUAACGCUUCGGAAUCUGCCUAUCAGUGGGGGACAACCCGGGGAAACUCGGGCUAAUACCGCAUACGUCCUACGGGGGAAAGCAGGGGUCGCAAGACCUUGCGCUGAUAGAUGAGCCGAAGUCGGAUUAGCUAGUUGGUGAGGUAAAGGCUCACCAAGGCGACGAUCCGUAGCUGGUCUGAGAGGACGACCAGCCACACCGGAACUGAGACACGGUCCGGACUCCUACGGGAGGCAGCAGUGGGGAAUAUUGGACAAUGGGGGAAACCCUGAUCCAGCGACGCCGCGUGGGUGAAGAAGGCCUGCGGGUUGUAAAGCCCUUUCGUUGGGGAAGAAAUGUUCCGACCUAAUACGUCGGGACCUUGACGUUACCCAAAGAAGAAGCACCGGCUAACUCUGUGCCAGCAGCCGCGGUAAGGUAGAUGAGU
rnacentral:rRNA from 1 species